GACGAGUGGCGGACGGGUGAGUAAUGCUUGGGAACUUGCCUUUGCGAGGGGGAUAACAGUUGGAAACGACUGCUAAUACCGCAUAACGUCUACGGACCAAACGGGGCUUAGGCUCCGGCGCAGAGAGAGGCCCAAGUGAGAUUAGCUAGUUGGUGAGGUAAAGGCUCACCAAGGCGACGAUCUCUAGCUGUUCUGAGAGGAAGAUCAGCCACACUGGGACUGAGACACGGCCCAGACUCCUACGGGAGGCAGCAGUGGGGAAUAUUGCACAAUGGGGGAAACCCUGAUGCAGCCAUGCCGCGUGUGUGAAGAAGGCCUUCGGGUUGUAAAGCACUUUCAGUUGUGAGGAAAAGUGAGUAGUUAAUACCUGCUCACCGUGACGUUAGCAACAGAAGAAGCACCGGCUAACUCCGUGCCAGCAGCCGCGGUAAUACGGAGGGU
rnacentral:rRNA from 1 species